AUGCGGGCAAUUGGCCACCAGCCUCGGGGGAAGAGACACAGGACCCUGCUCCCUGCAAUUUAUCAAAGCCUUGUUUUUUCCUUCACCCCUGAGCCUGACUUAAAGCGUUCCACCUCCACAGCAGCUAAGCCAGAUCAAUGCAACUCACCAGUCCUGUUUUUGCUCAAAGUACAUCAUAUGACACCAAGGUCACAUCUACUGAAGGAUCCUGAUAAAUACACAGCACAGGAAAUCCCAAGAAGGAAGAAAGUCGACUUUGUGGUGUCAAGGAUUGGAUCUGGACUCUGCUGGUGUGGAGCAGUUCUGUCAUUUCUCCAGCAGAGGGCGCAUUCUGCAUUCUUCAGAACUCAAGAAGCUCAAGUGUAGCAGACCUGAGAAACAGGGCUACCCUUUGAAGAGGAGAGAUGCAGUCUUUCUUUCUUUCUUUUUUUUUUUUUUUAAAGAUUUAUUUAUUUAUUAUAUGUAAGUACACUGUAGCUGUCUUCAGACACUCCAGAAGAGGGUGCCAGAUCUCGUUACGGAUGGUUGUGAGCCACCAUGUGGUUGCUGGGAUUUGAACUCCGGACCUUCGGAAGAGCAGUCGGGUGCUCCUACCCACUGAGCCAUCUCACCAGCCCCGAGAUGCAGUCUUUCAGUUCAAUAAUUAAAGGUCUAUUUAAAAAGCCAUGUUCGUUUUAGCUUUAUUAUUUCUGUGCUUUUGUGUGGAUUCAGACAUGUGUGCUACACUCCUAGCCCAAACUUCCAAUUUUUCUUUUUUUGACUUGUCAAGCCAGGGUUUCUUUAGUUCCAUCUUAGAACUGGACCUGUAGGCCAAGCUGGCCUCAAACUCAGAGAUCCACUUGCCUCUGCCCUCUCUAGUGCUCGGAUUAAAGUCCUGUGCUACCACCAGCCAGC
rnacentral:lncRNA from 1 species